UGGGAUGGUGUUCCACCCUCCCAACUACACACACCAGGUGUAGCGACUGAUUGGUGGGCGGGGCAGAUAGCUUUAAAGCUGAGCAGUCCGCUGCGAGGUGCAUGUGCCUUGUUUCCUUGCUGUAUGUUGGCUGCCCAAGUGGCUGGUGUGCUCGAUCCACUCAUCCAAAAUACGUUGCGCAGCUGGCGUUGGCGGCUGCAGUUGGAGGUUGGUGCGGCGAGCGGCUUCCAUCCAGCCCUCGCCUGCUGAUCCGCUCCCUCCCUGGUCGGCUGUGUCACCACAUCUGGGAUUCUUCCAGAGUUGCAGCGCUUGGACUCC